UAUGUUGUCGUCUAGUACAAUUAGGAUACCUGGUUUUUACCUAGGCGACCCGGGUUCAAAUCCCAACAACGUAA
rfam:Picea glauca, whole genome shotgun sequence.